GGGUUGUGAGGUUAAGCGACUAAGCGUACACGGUGGAUGCCCUGGCAGUCAGAGGCGAUGAAGGACGUGCUAAUCUGCGAUAAGCGCCGGUAAGGUGAUAUGAACCGUUAUAACCGGCGAUUUCCGAAUGGGGAAACCCAGUGUGAUUCGUCACACUAUCAUUAACUGAAUCCAUAGGUUAAUGAGGCGAACCGGGGGAACUGAAACAUCUAAGUACCCCGAGGAAAAGAAAUCAACCGAGAUUCCCCCAGUAGCGGCGAGCGAACGGGGAGGAGCCCAGAGCCUGAAUCAGCAUGUGUGUUAGUGGAAGCGUCUGGAAAGGCGCGCGAUACAGGGUGACAGCCCCGUACACAAAAGCGCAUGUGCUGUGAGCUCGAUGAGUAGGGCGGGACACGUGGUAUCCUGUCUGAAUAUGGGGGGACCAUCCUCCAAGGCUAAAUACUCCUGACUGACCGAUAGUGAACCAGUACCGUGAGGGAAAGGCGAAAAGAACCCCGGCGAGGGGAGUGAAAAAGAACCUGAAACCGUGUACGUACAAGCAGUGGGAGCCCCACCACCAAAGCAUUCUCUGGUGUU
rnacentral:rRNA from 1 species